rnacentral:rRNA from 17 species
GAGAAUGCUGGCAUGAGUAACGAGAGAGGGGCGAGAAACCCCUCCGCCGUAAGCCUAAGGGUUCCUGGGCAAGGCUAAUCCCCCCAGGGUCAGUCGGGAGCUAAGGCGAGGCCGACAGGCGUAGCCGAUGCACAACAGGCGGACAUUCCUGUACCACCGCGGAGCGUUACUACGACGGGGUGACGGAGAAGGGUAGCCGGGCGGGG